AAAAUUACAUCCUCCUGCAUAAUGAAUUACCCUUGUGUGCAGCUUAAACUAUGAGAAUGCGAAGCAUGACAAUUUUCUUAAAACUUUUAUCAAAAUCCCUAGUUGAGUCCAUGCACUAAGGUUUUGUUAGCAGUGAGGCAGAAGCAGAGAAAUUGAAGCACUAGUAUACCUGGAUAGGGCGUACUCUGAGCAAGAAAACAGACUAUUCUUCCAUAAGUACUUCAAUACUGGAAUAAGUCCAAAUGAAUUCAGCAGGACCUCUGUCAGAUUAUACACCAUGAGGAGAGAAUUAACAGUAACAGCCGUCACGAUAGAAGAAUGAACAAUUACAUGCCACUAGCCUGUCAAAGCUAUCCAUAGACUUGCAUGGAUUUAGAGGGAAGACAGACAAACAGGUACUAUGGUACUAACUGCUGGUUUUCCACCACAAGCAAAACUAAUGAAAGGCUGAAACAGAUGAGGGGGACAUCUGUAGAAGAG